rnacentral:rRNA from 1 species
UACAGAGGAGCCAAGCGUUGUCCGGAUUGACUGGGCGUAAAGCGCACGCAGGCGGUUUGGCGCGUGGGGUGUGAAAUCUGGCCGCUUAACGGCCAGGCGCCAUCCCAUACGGCUAGACUGGAGUGAUGCAGAGGUCAGUGGAAUUGCCGGUGUAGUGGUGAAAUGCGUAGAGAUCGGCAGGAACACCCAGGGGGAAACCAGCCGACUGGGCAUCGACUGACGCUGAGGUGCGAGAGCGUGGGGAGCGAACCGG